GGUGGCUCAGUGGUAGAGCGCUUACCUUGCAUGCCUGAUGCCCUGGGUUCGAUUUCCCAGCACCA
rnacentral:tRNA from 1 species